GGUUGCUUAUAAAAUGAUAAAAUAGUCGUGAUGUGAGGUCCGACAAUGGUUUGUAAUUUUGGUUUCAUCCCCAACCUCUCCAGCUAGCUUCUUCUUCACAUCAUAUCAUAUUUGCCCCUGCUGCUACAUCAUGGAUUGGAUGGUCACCUACUAGCUAAGUUGCUUAGCAUGUAUUGCCAUCGAAUUGGUCAAUACUGUUUCACUUUGCUUGUUUCUUGUACUAGGUCUGUCAGUUACAGCAUAAACAAACAAAUUGCUUAGCUCUCAACUAUGAAUACAUAGCUAGCUAAACUUGUUCUUUCUUUCUUUCUUUAGAGCUAUGACUUAUAUGGAUCAAGCUACUGUUUUGCUGUACUCAAUGAUACUAUUGCUGCAUGUAUACUGAUACAUGUGGUGAUAUUUUCCUGAACUUAAGUUGUGAAUGUACAAUUAGUUUCCUGCUGCUACUUAUCCCUGGCUCACCUGUUCUAGUUGGUUUCAAUUGAUGUUUGUCUCAUCUAGCACUCUGACUAUAAAUUUGUUGUUUUAAUCCUGAUGAUAUUGUAGUAUAAGGUGGAACACCAUAUUCCUGUUCUAAUCCAAAAGGAAUAAAGCAAUCAUGUUUGUUUGCUUGGUGCGUGUCGAUCUCAAAAUGGCGGACAAAACAUGACAAGUGAACACUUGCGGCUCUGUUUCCUGUUCCCUUUUGUAGUUUCUUGAUUUAUUUGCAUAUGCAGCACAUCAUCUUGAAUACCAUCUGUUUGUAUAUGCUUAGGGUAUGCAUGAUGCCUAUGCUCUGUAUUAGAUCAGUAUGUUAAUAUUAGUAGGCAUAUAUCCAUGUAUGAGUAGUGCAUUGUGCAGUUGGCCAUAUUCUAGCUCAUAUGGAACUUCCUGUGAUAUGGUGCAGUCCUGUUUUGUUUCAUUGAUUGCUUUUAUUUUGUCCCUAACCAUUUUUUUGUUCUAUAACAUGUAGAUGCUGGCGUUCGUUCAUGUUUCGUCGCAAGCUCUAGGAUGAAGAAGUGAAGAAGCAUUUAUUUCUAGCUCAUUGGAGCUAGUUAUACUUUUAUAGAUAUUUAGUUGAAACACUCAAUUUAGUUGUGUUCUUGGUGGCUGUAAACCUGAUGUGAAGUAUGUUCAAUUAUAAACGUGGUUUGAACUAUGUUUGAUUGUAA
rnacentral:lncRNA from 1 species